AAUGGGCGAAAGCCUGAUGCAGCCAUGCCGCGUGUAUGAAGAAGGCCUUCGGGUUGUAAAGUACUUUCAGUUGUGAGGAAGGGGGUAACGUUAAUAGCGUUAUCUCUUGACGUUAGCAACAGAAGAAGCACCGGCUAACUCCGUGCCAGCAGCCGCGGUAAUACGGAGGGUGCGAGCGUUAAUCGGAAUUACUGGGCGUAAAGCGCAUGCAGGUGGUUCAUUAAGUCAGAUGUGAAAGCCCGGGGCUCAACCUCGGAACUGCAUUUGAAACUGGUGAACUAGAGUGCUGUAGAGGGGGGUAGAAUUUCAGGUGUAGCGGUGAAAUGCGUAGAGAUCUGAAGGAAUACCAGUGGCGAAGGCGGCCCCCUGGACAGACACUGACACUCAGAUGCGAAAGCGUGGGGAGCAAACAGGAUUAGAUACCCUGGUAGUCCACGCCGUAAACGAUGUCUACUUGGAGGUUGUGGCCUUGAGCCGUGGCUUUCGGAGCUAACGCGUUAAGUAGACCGCCUGGGGAGUACGGUCGCAAGAUUAAAACUCAAAUGAAUUGACGGGGGCCCGCACAAGCGGUGGAGCAUGUGGUUUAAUUCGAUGCAACGCGAAGAACCUUACCUACUCUUGACAUCCAGAGAAGCCAGCGGAGACGCAGGUGUGCCUUCGGGAACUCUGAGACAGGUGCUGCAUGGCUGUCGUCAGCUCGUGUUGUGAAAUGUU
rnacentral:rRNA from 1 species